AUUGAACGUUGGCGGCGUGGAUUAGGCAUGCAAGUCGAGCGAGAACCCAGCAAUGGGGGACAGCGGCGCAAGGGACAGUAAUGUGUAGAUCAUCUGCCCUCCGGCCCGGGAUAGCUGCGGGAAACUGCGGGUAAUACCGGAUAACAUCUCCGGAUCAAAGGUGUGAUUCCGCCUGAGGAUGAGUCUACAUCCUAUUAGCUAGUUGGCAGGGUAACGGCCUACCAAGGCGAUGAUGGGUAGCGGGUGUGAGAGCACGACCCGCGUCAUUGGGACUGAGACACUGCCCAGACACCUACGGGUGGCUGCAGUCGAGAAUCUUCGGCAAUGGGCGCAAGCCUGACCGAGCGACGCCGCGUGCGGGAUGAAGGCCUUCGGGUUGUAAACCGCUGUCAGAGGGGAUGAAAUACAGGUGGGUUCUCCCAUCUGUUUGACAUAGCCUCAGAGGAAGGACGGGCUAAGUUCGUGCCAGCCGCCGCAGUAAUAC
rnacentral:rRNA from 1 species